rnacentral:misc_RNA from 1 species
AAGUCACAAAGCUUUGAUGCUGAAACAAAAUAGAGGGCGAUGCCUCCCAAAAUUCAUAUCAGAUAAUCUCAGAAGUAUAUCAAACAAGCUUGAUGAAACCUGUAUUUAAUCCCACUUAAAAAUUUAAAAGGAAAACAAAAUAGAAUCCUCUUUUGGAUCUGAUUUGCGUGAUGCACGAUUAUUAUUGCCAGAUUAAAAGACUAGAAAAGCUCUGAAGUAAAUGCAAAUCACCGCCCCUAGCAAAAGCCCAGCUCCCAGUCCCAAGG